UACAGAGGUCUCAAGCGUUGUUCGGAUUCAUUGGGCGUAAAGGGUGUGUAGGUGGCGCGCUAAGUCGGGGUGUGAAAUUUCGGAGCUUAACUCCGAAACUGCAUUCGAUACUGGCGUGCUUGAGGACUGGGAGAGGAGACUGGAAUUCAUGGUGUAGCAGUGAAAUGCGUAGAGAUCAUGAGGAAGACCAGUGGCGAAGGCGGGUCUCUGGACAGUUCCUGACACUGAGACACGAAGGCCAGGGGAGCAAACGGG
rnacentral:rRNA from 1 species